CCUACGGGAGGCUGCAGUGAGGAAUAUUGGUCAAUGGACGAGAGUCUGAACCAGCCAAGUAGCGUGAAGGAUGACUGCCCUAUGGUUUGUAAGCUUCUUUUAUAUGGGAAUAAAAUGUUCCACGUGUGGGAUUUUGUAUGUACCAUAUGAAUAAGGAUCGGCUAACUCCGUGCCAGCAGCCGCGGUAAUACGGAGGAUCCGAGCGUUAUCCGGAUUUAUUUGGUUUAAAGGGAGCGGAUGUGGAUUUGUAAGUCAUGUGUGAAAGUUUGCGGCUCAACCGUAAAAUUGCAGUUGAAACUAGCAGUCUAGAGUACAGUAGAGGUGGGCGGAAUUCGUGGUGUAGCGGUGAAAUGCUUAGAUAUAACGAAGAACUCCGAUGGCGAAGGCAGCUCACUGGACUGAAACUGACACUGAGGCUCGAAAGUGUGGGUAUCAAACAGGAUUAGAUACCCCAGUAGUC
rnacentral:rRNA from 1 species